ensembl:lncRNA
GUCACUUCUAAUCAACUGAUGAGAAUCACCUUUGUCUGAAAGUGCAGAGUCACUGUUGGUCACAGAGAAGUUGCCCAGUAGGACACACAGUAGACCGACACAAAAACUGCCUGACGAUGUGAAAUAACAUUAAAGUCAAUGAGAAAGUGAAGAGGGUCGUUUGGUGCUUUCAACUAAAUAAUAUCUACAUGCUUGUUGAUGAAAGGGGAGGAGUUUCUCUGUGAUCAAAACAAAUGCUUGGUCAUACAGCGCGCUUCUGUUCCAUCCCUCUCUGUGUGGGAGACAGCUGAACAGAUGGGAAAGACACACAAGAGAUCAAGUGCAGUUUGUUUUUAGGUUACACCGUGUCCGCGCCACAAGGACUCUGUGUUACUGACACGAUGAACCAAAUAGAUAAGCAGGGUGAGGACGGUGUCUGUUCACUGCGUAAGCUAUUCUCCUGCUAACAGCCACUAUAGAGAGAUAAGAAAGCAUAACCAAAUUCAAAUCCUGCUAGGGGUGUUUUCUUUAAGACAGGAAAGGUCGACCAGCAUUACAAUAUUGAUGUGAAUGUUAGAAUGAUCAUUAGCAGUGAAACCCGGCCUCGAGGUGGAGGCAGCUGCAUGUUGACUUCCCUGUUAUCCAGAUCUAGAGGCAAAGUUGCUUCAACGAUCCUCUGUCUCCUGCUUCUGUUUAGGUACACAAGCUAUGCUUCAAUAAGUUCAUUGUCAACAUUUUCUACAUGAUGUUAUGAUAAAUUUGUCAACGUAUUUGUAUUCUGUGACUGAAACAGUCAGAGUGGAGUUAUAAAUCUCUAUAUUUGCAG